rnacentral:rRNA from 1 species
GACGAACGCUGGCGGCGUGCUUAACACAUGCAAGUCGAACGGUGAAGCGCCUUCCUUUUUGGUGGGUGUGGAUGAGUGGCGAACGGGUGAGUAACACGUGAGUAACCUGCCCCCUUCUUCUGGAUAACCGCAUGAAAGUGUGGCUAAUACGGGAUAUUCUGGGUCUGUCGCAUGAUGGGUCUGGGAAAGAUAUUGUUUCGGUGGGGGAUGGGCUCGCGGCCUAUCAGCUUGUUGGUGGGGUGAUGGCCUACCAAGGCGGUGACGGGUAGCCGGCCUGAGAGGGUGGACGGUCUCACUGGGACUGAGUCACGGCCCAGACUCCUACGGGAGGCAGCAGUGGGGAAUAUUGCACAAUGGGCGCAAGCCUGAUGCAGCGCCGCCGCGUGAGGGAUGGAGGCCUUCGGGUUGUGAACCUCUUUCGCCAGUGAAGCAGGCCUGCCUCGUUUGUGGGUGGGUUGACGGUAGCUGGAUAAGAAGCGCCGGCUAACUACGUG